rnacentral:rRNA from 1 species
AUUGAACGCUGGCGGCAGGCCUAACACAUGCAAGUCGAGCGGAUGGACGGAGCUUUCUCCUCGCUUCCGCGGCCGACGGGCGGGUAAUUCAUAGGAAUCUACCUGGCAGAUAGGGCUAGCAUCAGUAAGCGGGCGCUAGUACCCCAUCCGUCCAUAUAGUGAAACUGGGGGUUCUUCGGACCUCACCCUCUUAGCUGAGCCUAAGUCGGGUUAGCUCGUUGGUGGGGUAAAGGGCUACCAAGCCCACUAUCCGAAGCUGGUCUGCGAGGAUGAUCAGAUACACUGGAACUGAGACACGGUCCAGACUCCUACGGGAGGCAGCAGGGGGGAAUAUUGGACAAUGGGCGAAAGCCUGAUCCAGCCAUGCCGCGGGAGUGAAGAAGGUCUUCGGAUUGUAAAGCACUUUAAGUAGGGAAGAACAGAAGUGUGUUAAUACAUGGCUGUUUUGACGGUACCAACAGAGUAAGCCCCGGCUAACUUCGUG